AUUAAAGAUUUUGGCGGUAUUUUAGUCCAUUCAGAGGAACCUGUCCUGUAAUUGAUAAUCCACGAUUUAAUUUACUUGUUUUUUUAGUUUGUAUAUCGUCGUGGGUUGAAUAUUUUAUAAGAAUUAUAAUGUUCAAUAAAUAUAAAUUUAUUUUAUGUCAGAUCAAGGUGCAGCUUAUGAAUAAGAAGAGAUGGGUUACAAUAAAAUUAUUUUUGGUUUAUUAGCUUUAAUGUUUUUAGUAAAUUGGAUUUGAAUGUAAUAUUUUUUAAUUUAUAGAUGUGAUUUUGGCUCUAAAAUAUGCACAUAUUGCCCGUCGCUCUCAUUUAAUAUGAGAUAAGUCGUAACAAAGUAGAUGUACUGGAAAGUGUAUCUAGAAAGAU
rnacentral:rRNA from 2 species